ACUAGACGGGGAGUUAACGGUGCCCUGUGACCCGCAACCCGUUAUAGCGGGGUCGAACAGCUGUCUAGGGGUAGUUUGGUCGAAUAUGUGCAAAAACUUUUGAUGAUGAAAUUAAGGUCUUGUGCAAUUUGUCCCUUCGAACCAUGUCAGGUCCUGACGGAAGCAACAUUAAGAUGGAUCUCAAAUGUGCCAUGAGGAAACUUUGGUGGAGUUGAAACU
rnacentral:SRP_RNA from 1 species